UGGGGCAUGGUCCCAGCCGAGCGCAUGGGUGUUCACUGGGGCUGGUCGUGUAGGCACUGGUCUGGCUGGUGCCAACUGCAGAGCUGGGGGAGGCGGGUGCCUGUGCCAGCUCCGCUGUGUGCACCUCAGGCACCCUUGAGCACUGGGCCCAGGGAGCCCCGCUGGAGUCCAUGUUCCCAGAGGCCAGAAAGGGCCAGCCUUGCCACUGGCCCUCCUGAGGCCACAGGGCUGCCCACUGUGCAUUCAGGUGACUGUGCCUGCUGGAGACUUGCUGCUGUCUUCUCCGCCAGGGCCUCUCUCCUUGCUGCGGCUGGUACCUGUGGAAGGCCUGCACAGCUGGCCCGUUUGCACCAGGUACAGUGGCACAUGCCUCUAAUUCCAUCAGCAGCUCAGGAGGGCUGAGGCAGGCGGAUUGUGAGUUCAAAGCCAGCCUCAGCAACUUAGUGAAGCCCUAAGCAUCUCAGCAAGACCCUGUCUCUCAAGAAAAUACAAAAAAGGGCUGGGGAUGUGGCUCAGUGGUUGAGUGCCUCUGGGUUCAAUGCCCGAUACCAAAAUAAAGGCCCAUUUACAUUUUG